rnacentral:rRNA from 1 species
GGUUUGAUCAUGGCCUCAGAUUGAACGCUGGCGGAUGCUUUACACAUGCAAGUCGAACGGCAGCACGGACUUCGGUCUGGUGGCGAGUGGCGAACGGGUGAGUAAUGUAUCGGAACGUGCCUAGUAGCGGUAGAUAACUACGCGAAAAGCGUAGCGACACCGCAUACGGGCCCUUCGGGGGAAAGCGGGGACCUCGGCCCCGCACUUAUUAGAGCGGCCGGAUAUCGGAUUAGCUAGUUGGUGGGGUAACGGCUCACCAAGGCGACGAUCCGCAGCUGGUUUGAGGACGACCAGCCACACUGGGACUGAGACACGGCCCAGACUCCUACGGGAGGCAGCAGUGGGGAAUUUUGGACAAUGGGGGGAACCCUGAUCCAGCCAUCCAUGUGUGCGUGAUGAAGGCCUUCGGUUGUAAAAGCACUUUGGCAGGAAAGAAACGGCACGGAUAAUACCCCGUGCAACUGACGGUACCUGCAGAAUAAGCACCGCCAACUACGUGCCAGCAGUCGCGCAUGCGUAGGGUGCAAGCGUUACCCGGAAUUACUACGGAAGCGUGCGCAGGCGGUUCGGGAAAGAAAGAUGUGAAAUCCCCCAGAGCUUAACUCUUCUUUGGAACUGCAUUUUUAACUACCGAGCUAGAGUGUGUCAGAGGGAGGUGGAAUUCCGCGUAGCAGUGAAAUGCGUAGAUAUGCGGAGGAACACCGAUGGCGAAGGCAGCCUCCUGGGAUAACACUGACGCUCAUGCACGAAAGCGUGGGGAGCAAACAGGAUUAGAUACCCCGGUAGUCCACGCCCUAAACGAUGUCAACUAGCUGUUGGGGCCUUCUGGCCUUGGUAUGGGCAGCGAUCGCGUGAAGUUGACCGCCUGGGGAGAGUACGGUCGCAAGAUUAAAACUCAAAGGAAUUGACGGGGACCCGCACAAGCGGUGGAUGAUGUGGAUUAACUGGAUGCAACGCGAAAAACCUUACCUACCCUUGACAUGUCUGGAAUCCCAAGAGAUUUGGGAGCAGUCGCAAAGAGAACCGGAACACAGGUGCUGCAUGGCUGUCGUCAGCUGUGUCGUGAGAUGUUGGGUUAAGUCCCGCAACGAGCGCAACCCUUGUCAAGGUUAGCACGAGCAGCACUCUAAUGAGACUGCCGGUGACAACCGGAGGAAGCGUGGGGAUGACGUCAAGUCCUCAUGGCUCAGGUAGGGCUUGCCACGUCAUACAAUGGUCGGGACAGAGGGUCGCCAACCCGCGAGGGGAGCCAAUCCCAGAAACCCGAUCGUAGUCCGGAUCGCAGUCUGCAACUCGACUGCAGAAGUCGGAAUCGCUAGUAAUCGCGGAUCAGCAUGUCGCGGUGAAUACGUUCCUGGUCUUGUACACACCGCCCGUCACACCAUGGGAGUGGGUUUUACCAGAAGUAGUUAGCCUAACCGUAAGGAGGGCGAUUACCACGGUAGGAUUCAGACUGGGUGAAGUCGCACAAGGUAA